AUCUGGUUGAUCCUGCCAGUCGUGAUAUGCUUCUUUCAAGGAUUAAGCCAUGCAUGUAUCAGAGUACGCGAAUGCCAGCUAAUAGCGGGUCUGCGAAUGGCUCAUUAAAUUCAGUUAUCACCUGCCCGGUUGCGCUUUGGGACCUUGUGUCAUCUGCCGAGCCUCAUGGAUAACCGUUCCAAAUGGAUGGCUAAUACAUGUGAGAUAGACGCCUAGUCGGGUUGGCUUGCCAACAGCUGUGGUUCAUGCGGGCAACCUAUUGGAUUGCAGUAUGACGGGUGUACGAUGAACCGACACGAAGAGUAGCGCUCUUCAUUGAGCAGCUUGCAUUGGUGAUUCAGGUUCAUUGUGUUGUCUGGUGAAAGCAGAGUGGCCGCUGUGUGUCGCUGCGAUACCGGAUGGAUUCCUGUCCUAUCAUGCUGACGAUUGUGGUGUAUUGGACUACAAUUGCGUUCACGGGUAACGGGGAAUUUGGGUUUGAUUCCGGAGAGGGGGUCUGAAAAACGGCCACCACGGUCAAGGCCGGCAGCAGGCGCGUAAAUUGCCCAUUGCAAACUCUUGUGUGAGGCAGCGACGAAGAAUGGCAGCAGUGCAUACCCUAGUGGUACGUGCUGCUCGCAAAGGAUGAUAUCCAAAAAAAGCUCAGUGAGUAUCUACCAGAGGGCAAGUCUGGUGCCAGCAGCCGCGGUAAUUCCAGCUCUAGCAGUGUAUACAAAUAUUGCUGCUGUUGAAACGCUCGUAGUCGAUUGCAGAGUGGUGGGCGUUAUCCAACUCUGGCGCUCUGCCUCGGUGGACACCAGAGGGGUUGCUUGGCUUGCCUUGCUGCCCAGGUUAACAGACCUUCUGCUCGCCUUACAUGGGAAUGGUACCUCUUGCUGACACACUCUUCGGUGAUUGUGCUGGCUGCUUCCGCGUCGAAAGCACGCAUGGAGUCUUGCCCGGGGCGCCCAUGGCUCUCACUGUGAACAAAACAGCGCGUCCAUAGCGGCCGACUUGCUCGGUUGUAUGACAAAGCACAGGAUGAGAAGGGAUCGACCAGCAUUCUGAUUGUUCUGCCACUCUUCGACAGUUGUUGGGUAAUGCGGGGUGGACACUGUUUCAUCGUUGAACCGUAAGUCCCCAAAAGGGGGUGGGGAUACUUGAAUCAGCUGAACACCACUGAUCGGAAAUGAUGAGCGUACUCUGGGCCCUAUGUACUGUCAGGCUAGAGGUGAAAUUCUUGGACCCUGGCAUGACAAACUGCAGCGAAGGCGUUCCCUGGCAAGUGCAUGGCUGUCGAUCAAGAACGAGAGUGUGGGGAUCGAAGAUGAUCAGAUACCGUCGUAGUCCAUUUCCAGUAAACGUUGCCGGCUCGGUAUGGGACGUGCCAUUCUUUCUGGUUGUCAAGUUCCGUGCCAUCCCCCAUUAUCGAGAAAUCACAAGCUUAUGGGUUCAGGGGGGAGUACACUCGCAAGCGUGAAACUUGAAGGAAUUGACGGAAUGACACCACAAGGCGUGGAGUCUGCGGCUUAAUUUGACUCAACACGGGGAAUGUUACCGGGUCAGGACGCAGUGAUGAUGGACAGAUUGAGAGCUCUUUCUUGAUUCUUUGGAGGGUGGUGCAUGGCCGUUCCUGGUUCGUGGAGUGAUCUGUCUGGUUGAUUCCGAUAACGAGCGAGAUCUCCGCCUCUCCAUAGCUUCUUAGCUCGACUCUGUAGAGCGUUACGAUGUCUUGUGGGUGCCUGCGGUGCUUGCCUGGCUUCUGUCAAUCGCUUGAGAGCUAUGUCAAACUUCUCAGAGGAUCCGUAUGCGUUCUAAGCAUGCGUAAGCAGGAGGCGACAGCAGGUCUGUGAUGCCCCCAAAUGUCCUGGGCUGCACGCGCACGACACUGGUGCCAACGGCGAGUCUGGCUGGUCGCCUCGUGUGGCCAGCCGCCUGUACCGACAGGCAAUGGGUAACCUGGGAACUGGUGCCGUGACUGGAACAGAUGAUUGUAAUUAUUCAUCUCGAACGAGGAAUGCCUAGUAUGCGCGGCUCAUCAGACCGCACAGAUUGUGUCCCUGCCAUUUGUACACACCGCCCGUCGUUCCUACCGAUGAUGCGUGGACAGAGGUUUCAGGAUGUUGACCGCACAGUGUGGCUUGCUACCAGUGCAGACCAGCAGAAUUUGCCCAAUGUCCUCCUAUUAGAGGAAGGAAAAGUCGUAACAAGGUAGUCGUAGGUGAACCUGCGACUGGAUCAUU
rnacentral:rRNA from 1 species